ensembl:snRNA U6 U6 spliceosomal RNA
GUGCUUGCCUCAGCAGCAUAGUAUAAUUGGAACAGUACAAAGAAGAUGGACAUGGCCCCUGAUCAAGGAUGACAUGCAAAUCUCUGAAUCAUUUCCAUUUGUU